CAAACGCGAGGCUCGAGAGGUGACUAUCGGCACUGAAAACUGCUCACAAAUAAAUAGAAAAAGUGGGUCGUGGGUCGAGAUUCCCUGAAUGGACGUUCAUGAAUUGUCUUGAAAUGUAAGCUACUUGCGCGUAACCGGAAGAUUUUGCAAAUGUAUUUUGAAAUCCUGGUCAAGCGGAAGGCAUUUUGUGCUGAUUCGGCGGAGCUGUGUAAGUUGGUUGAGGAUAAGGGUUGAUUCUGAACGAUCGUUUCAUAAUUGUUCGUCUGUUUUUUGUAACUAAGGUCACAUAGGUAGCACCGAACGACUUGCUUUUAAUAUGGAUUUUAGCGGCUGAACUAAAGCUACAAGAAGAAAACCUUCGUUUACACGACUUUAAGCUUGACGGACGACAAAAGUUGCAUUUCCAGUAAGGUUUCUUAAUGUCAGGAUUACAGUUGCGUAACGUCGGCAUGAUUUAUAUAGGACGGUGAUUCACAAAAAAAUCGGAUGAACAUAAUCAUCUCGUGAUAUAACCGUGAUUUAGAGGUGCGUUUAAGCCGUUGACUCGAGUUGAAAGUAACUAUUAGGUGUUACUUUUGGCAUGGGGGAAGUGCCGGUGUCAGGGAGGACCCCCGCCCCCAUCUCUCUCUCUCUCUCUCUCUCUCUCUCUCUCUCUCUCUGACGCGGAUAGUCACGCAGGACGUCUGGAGCCAGAGAAAACGCUAAAAUCCUUUCAGAGAGUUAACACCGCGCUGCGGACGCAAAGACGAUUUCGUGGGAUUUGACGGGAAACACCUGCCCCGCCCUGCACCAGACGCAGCCUGCUCAUUGGCUACCCAGAGCGGGAUGAAGCACGCUAAUGGCCAGCCAGAGCGAGAUGGAGUGUGCUCAUUGGCUACCCGGGGUGAGAUGGAGCAUACUCAUUGGCUACACGGUAGGAUGGAGCGCGCUUAUGGGCUACCCAGAGUGAGGUGACGCACGGUCAUUGGCUACCCUGGGCGAAAAAAGGAGCGUGCUCAUUGGCUACCCAGAGCAAGAUGGAGCGUGCUUAUUGGCUGACCUGCAGCAGUUCUUCACUGGCAAGCUUUAUGUCCAUGUGUCCUCGCUAAAGCUGCCAGCUGAAGAACUGCUGUGGCUGCCUCUGUCCGUCGCCCCGAGAGAAGAGGAGAGGCGGAGCGCUUGGUAACGGGAUGAGGGGGGGGACGGGGGGUCCAGGAUAGGGUGGAGGACCUUCUUAAUUUUUCUCUUUUUUGUUUAUUUUUUAUCCUGAUUUUAUUUUUUAAAAAUUUUAUUUAGUUUUAAUCUCUGUACCCCAACGUGGAUUGGUCAGUCACAUCACUUGACCAAUUCUGUUUUUUUUUGUUUUUUUUUGGGGGGGGUGAGAGGGGGGGGGGGGUGAGGAUUAAUGGAAUGUCCUUUCAAAACAUGUACAGCCAGCACAGGAAGACUGCAGGCAUCCCAUCGACAAGAGUGUAAAUGGGGUGGCGGUUUAGUGCAAUUAGGGUGUAAGUGGGGGGGCAGUUUAGUGGGGACAGUGCUGUGGUCCCCUUGAGUAAGGUAUUUAACCUGAAUUUCUGCAGUAAAUAUCUAGCUGUAUAAAUAUAUGUAAAUUUAUAAAUUUAUAUGUAAAUUUAUGUAUAAAUAAAAUAAUUGUAUGCAGUGAAAGUAGCUGUUGUGUAUGCCACUCUCAGUGUCUGCUCAAUGUCUAAAGUGUAAAGUGGAGUCUGUCUUGGGUUGUGAGACUGUGUGUGAGUGUCUGUGUGCUGUGUGUGUGUGUGUGUGUGUGUGUGUGUGUGUGUGUUCAUGUUCAUCUCCAUCUCCAUCUCCCUGUCAGUUUACAGUGCCUAACCCUCAAGGUCAUGAUGUAAAAUGUGAGUAUAACUCCCAGACAGCAGUGAGGGGGUCUCUCUGAACAGACUAAUGAAAGGAGGCUCAGACAGGCUGUGAUUUAAUCCACACUGCUGCCACACCUCAUCUAAGCUGCUCAGCUUGCCUCCAUUACUACACCGAUUGGGUUAAUUCCACUUGUACACCAGCAGGCGGACUGUGCAGUCUACACAAACCCUGUUAUACUAGCCCUGAUUCUGAAGAGAUGGCAUAGAGCCUGAGGAUACAGAAUACACACACACACACACACGCUAACACACAUGCAUGCACACACACACACACACACACAAACAAACAUCCUCACCAUGUGACAUGCCCCUACAGAAAAAAGGUUAGCACCCCCCCCCCUUCCCCCUUUAGGCCCUAUUCCUUCCUGCCCCACCCCUCUGCCCUUAGACAGUAUGUAGAGGUCACGGGCCCCGGAGCUCUGCGUCUUAUUGGCUGCGAGGGGAUCCGCUGGCUGGUUCAUUAAUAGAGUGGGAGGUGGUAUCAGGCCAAAUUUAAACACGAUCGUGUGUAAGCAGCUUCAAAAAUAAAGUCCUUUUGAAAAUAAA